GUUAGUAAAAAUGUGUGACUUUUGAAUUAUGGAUCACCAAACCUAUCUAGGAGUGUUUGGGAAUAAAGAAGGUAUUAAUCCAAUGGGGUUUACAGCAUAACAUCAUCGUAUCACACGCCAUCCAUGUGAAAUCUUAAAUAACACCUCGAAACACCAAGAGGCCAAUCUCCAACCAUAAGUCACUGGGAGUAGUUACUUGGGGAACAAGCCUUUUGGGGGCAUUCCAGCUCCUUUUCGUAUUAGCACUUGGACCUACAGGAGGCAUGAUUUUUGCACUAUCCUAGUGCUCAUUUCCGGGGAUGCGCCAGCAACCUAUUUAGGAGUCGUUCGGGUUUGUUUGGGAACUACCAGUGGGUGACAUUAGUAACUAUUAUUUAGUUUACCUAUUUAUAUAACAUAUUUGUAUAUUAUGGUAUUAAGUUCCCAAACUCAUGUAUCAUUUUGCGGUACUGUACGUUG